rnacentral:rRNA from 1 species
UACGUAGGUGGCAAGCGUUGUCCGGAUUUACUGGGCGUAAAGAGCGCGCAGGCGGCCAAGUCAGUCGAAUGUGAAAGCCCCCGGCUCAACUGGGGAGGGUCAUUCGAUACUGCUCGGCUCGAAGACAGGAGAGGGAAGUGGAAUUCCCGGUGUAGUGGUGAAAUGCGUAGAUAUCGGGAGGAACACCAGUGGCGAAGGCGACUUUCUGGCCUGUUCUUGACGCUGAGGCGCGAAAGCUAGGGGAGCAAACGGGG